CAGCGAGACAAAACCGAUUUGUAUGCUCACGAGUCACGACAGCCUUCUCCAGCUCCAACACCCCCAAUCCAACAAACGUUUGAAUCUUCCAUUCUUCGUCACGUACAACCGACCAAUCAAAUCAUCAUUCUCCUUUUCCUCCAAAGAUGAAGAAAUAAAUGAAGCAGUUGGAGAUGAGUCAAGCCUGGCAGAAUGCUACCCAUCUGAGCUGCCAUCAAACGAUGCACAAUGCAAUGAUGCAGUCUUGACAUACUCGCACUAUGUGGAAGUGCCUCACAUAAACCAGCAAUUCUCUUGGGAUUGUGGUCUUGCUUGUGUUUUGAUGGUUUUGAGUACCAUUGGCAUCAAUGACUUCAGUAUUCAAUCCUUGGCAGAACUAUGCAGAACAACAAGCAUUUGGACUGUUGAUCUGGCAUAUUUGCUGCAGAAGUUUUCAGUUCGAUUCUCCUACUUCACUGUAACAUUUGGGGCUAACCCGGACUUCUCUGUCGAGACAUUUUACAAGGAACAAUUGCCUAACGAUUUGGUUCGAGUAGAUAUGCUCUUUCAGAAAGCACGGGAAGCCGAAAUUAAUAUUCAGUGCAGAUCCAUCAGUGGGGAAGAAAUUUCCAUCUUGAUUCUUUCUGGGAAAUAUAUUGCAAUUGUACUAGUUGAUCAGUUCAAAUUGAGCCAAUCUUGGCUGGAGAAUGUUAUUGUUUCGGGCUUUAACAGCACUGGUUCAGGGUACACUGGACAUUAUGUUGUGAUAUGUGGAUAUGAUGCUGCUGCAGAUGAAUUUGAGAUCAGAGAUCCUGCUAGUUCGUGGAAGCAUGAGAGGGUCUCAGCAAAGCGACUGGACGAAGCACGGAGAUCCUUUGGCACAGAUGAAGAUCUUCUCCUGAUUUGUAUCGAGAGGAAUGAGCCGCAAAGUAGCUCAUCCUUAACAACUUCUCCAGACAGAAAUAUGGUUUCCUGAUGUUUUACCAUGCCUUUUAUCCACCUGUGCGGUAUAUGCUUCUUUGCACAUAUUACAAAUUGCUUGUGUACAGUUUGUACAAAGGAAAUGAUUUGGUCUCCAAUUUUUUCUUAAAAUGCACAGGUCCGCAAGUAUAGAAUUUAUUUUGUUCAGUAUGGUGUGAAUUGUGAAUAAAGCUCAUAUAUAAUUUAAGCCUAAUUUUGGUCUAAUGAAAAUUGGUUGGCUUGUUGGAUCCCCUUCUCGUCCUCCUGGGCUUUGGCUGUAAAAAGAUAGUAUUGGUCGAUUAUGACGCACAGGUUAGUGUUGAUUCUGCCCUUUUUACUGGGGUUUUGCAGCCUCAGUAGCUCCAAUUCUUGUUAAAUACAUGCAUGUGUGUCCUGACUUGUGUCUUCAAGAUUGUGUUCGUUAGUUCAUGACUUUCCCAGUUGGGCAUUAAAUCAAUGUAGCCUCAUAAUUAUCAAAUAAAUGCUGUGGACGUGAGAAGUCUGAAAAAUACUAACUGGAGUGUAUUGUUGGGCGCAAUUGUGAGAGUUCACCUGUCCAGGUAAACAGCCAGUUGCAUUAAAAAACUGAACACAAUUGUUUGUGCUGCUAAUACCGUGAAGGUGAUUUAUGACGCUUGGCAUUAUGUGAUCAUUUUCCUGUGUUUGGAUAGCUUCUGUUUCCCAAUACUUGAAUAAAUCCCAGAAAACUUUUUUAGUGUAAAUGAACGAAAGAUUCAUGAGCCUCUGAGCGGUCAACUGAUCCACCUGUGGUCUUUUGGAUGGUAUUUUUUAUGGAUUGAACUAGGAAACAAAUGUCUUUUGUCACAUUAUCCAGUUGAUUUCUUUGGGGUCAAAAACCCUUUUAAUUGUUUAUUGCAA